AGUGAACGCUGGCGGUAGGCCUAACACAUGCAAGUCGAACGGCAGCACAGUAAGAGCUUGCUCUUACGGGUGGCGAGUGGCGGACGGGUGAGGAAUACAUCGGAAUCUACUUUUUCGUGGGGGAUAACGUAGGGAAACUUACGCUAAUACCGCAUACGACCUACGGGUGAAAGCAGGGGAUCUUCGGACCUUGCGGGAUUGAAUGAGCCGAUGUCGGAUUAGCUAGUUGGCGGGGUAAAGGCCCACCAAGGCGACGAUCCGUAGCUGGUCUGAGAGGAUGAUCAGCCACACUGGAACUUAGACACGGUCCAGGCUCCUACGGGAGGCAGCAGUGGGGAAUAUUGGACAAUGGGCGCAAGCCUGAUCCAGCCAUACCGCGUGGGUGAAGAAGGCCUUCGGGUUGUAAAGCCCUUUUGUUGGGAAAGAAAAGCAGCAGGUUAAUACCCCGCUGUUCUGACGGUACCCAAAGAAUAAGCACCGGCUAACUUCGUG
rnacentral:rRNA from 1 species